GUUAAGCGACUAAGCGUACACGGUGGAUGCCCUGGCAGUCAGAGGCGAUGAAGGACGUGCUAAUCUGCGAUAAGCGUCGGUAAGGUGAUAUGAACCGUUAUAACCGGCGAUUUCCGAAUGGGGAAACCCAGUGUGUUUCGACACACUAUCAUUAACUGAAUCCAUAGGUUAAUGAGGCGAACCGGGGGAACUGAAACAUCUAAGUACCCCGAGGAAAAGAAAUCAACCGAGAUUCCCCCAGUAGCGGCGAGCGAACGGGGAGCAGCCCAGAGCCUGAAUCAGUGUGUGUGUUAGUGGAAGCGUCUGGAAAGGCGCGCGAUACAGGGUGACAGCCCCGUACACAAAAAUGCACAUGCUGUGAGCUCGAUGAGUAGGGCGGGACACGUGGUAUCCUGUCUGAAUAUGGGGGGACCAUCCUCCAAGGCUAAAUACUCCUGACUGACCGAUAGUGAACCAGUACCGUGAGGGAAAGGCGAAAAGAACCCCGGCGAGGGGAGUGAAAAAGAACCUGAAACCGUGUACGUACAAGCAGUGGGAGCACGCUUAGGCGUGUGACUGCGUACCUUUUGUAUAAUGGGUCAGCGACUUAUAUUCUGUAGCAAGGUUAACCGAAUAGGGGAGCCGAAGGGAAACCGAGUCUUAACUGGGCGUUAAGUUGCAGGGUAUAGACCCGAAACCCGGUGAUCUAGCCAUGGGCAGGUUGAAGGUUGGGUAACACUAACUGGAGGACCGAACCGACUAAUGUUGAAAAAUUAGCGGAUGACUUGUGGCUGGGGGUGAAAGGCCAAUCAAACCGGGAGAUAGCUGGUUCUCCCCGAAAGCUAUUUAGGUAGCGCCUCGUGAAUUCAUCUCCGGGGGUAGAGCACUGUUUCGGCAAGGGGGUCAUCCCGACUUACCAACCCGAUGCAAACUGCGAAUACCGGAGAAUGUUAUCACGGGAGACACACGGCGGGUGCUAACGUCCGUCGUGAAGAGGGAAACAACCCAGACCGCCAGCUAAGGUCCCAAAGUCAUGGUUAAGUGGGAAACGAUGUGGGAAGGCCCAGACAGCCAGGAUGUUGGCUUAGAAGCAGCCAUCAUUUAAAGAAAGCGUAAUAGCUCACUGGUCGAGUCGGCCUGCGCGGAAGAUGUAACGGGGCUAAACCAUGCACCGAAGCUGCGGCAGCGACACUAUGUGUUGUUGGGUAGGGGAGCGUUCUGUAAGCCUGUGAAGGUGUACUGUGAGGUAUGCUGGAGGUAUCAGAAGUGCGAAUGCUGACAUAAGUAACGAUAAAGCGGGUGAAAAGCCCGCUCGCCGGAAGACCAAGGGUUCCUGUCCAACGUUAAUCGGGGCAGGGUGAGUCGACCCCUAAGGCGAGGCCGAAAGGCGUAGUCGAUGGGAAACAGGUUAAUAUUCCUGUACUUGGUGUUACUGCGAAGGGGGGACGGAGAAGGCUAUGUUGGCCGGGCGACGGUUGUCCCGGUUUAAGCGUGUAGGCUGGUUUUCCAGGCAAAUCCGGAAAAUCAAGGCUGAGGCGUGAUGACGAGGCACUACGGUGCUGAAGCAACAAAUGCCCUGCUUCCAGGAAAAGCCUCUAAGCAUCAGGUAACAUCAAAUCGUACCCCAAACCGACACAGGUGGUCAGGUAGAGAAUACCAAGGCGCUUGAGAGAACUCGGGUGAAGGAACUAGGCAAAAUGGUGCCGUAACUUCGGGAGAAGGCACGCUGAUAUGUAGGUGAAGUCCCUCGCGGAUGGAGCUGAAAUCAGUCGAAGAUACCAGCUGGCUGCAACUGUUUAUUAAAAACACAGCACUGUGCAAACACGAAAGUGGACGUAUACGGUGUGACGCCUGCCCGGUGCCGGAAGGUUAAUUGAUGGGGUUAGCCGCAAGGCGAAGCUCUUGAUCGAAGCCCCGGUAAACGGCGGCCGUAACUAUAACGGUCCUAAGGUAGCGAAAUUCCUUGUCGGGUAAGUUCCGACCUGCACGAAUGGCGUAAUGAUGGCCAGGCUGUCUCCACCCGAGACUCAGUGAAAU
rnacentral:rRNA from 1 species